rnacentral:rRNA from 1 species
CCUACGGGAGGCUGCAGUGGGGAAUAUUGGGCAAUGGGCGCAAGCCUGACCCAGCAACGCCGCGUGAAGGAAGAAGGCUUUCGGGUGGUAAACUUCUUUUCUCAGGGACGAAGCAAGUGACGGUACUUGAGGAAUAAGCCACGGCUAACUACGGGCCAGCAGCCGCGGUAAUACGUAGGUGGCAAGCGUUAUCCGGAUUUACUGGGUGUAAAGGGCGUGUAGGCGGGACUGCAAGUCAGAUGGGAAAACCCUGGGCUCAACCUCUGGCCUGCAUUUGAAACUGUAGUUCUUGAGUACUGGAGAGGCAGGCGGAAUUCCUAGUGUAGCGGUGAAAUGCGUAGAUAUUAGGAGGAACACCAGUGGCGAAGGCGGUCUGCUGGACAGCAACUGACGCUGAGGCGCGAAAGCGUGGGGAGCAAACAGGAUUAGAUACCCCAGUAGUC